rnacentral:lncRNA from 1 species
UUUGCUUUUGGGUAGUUAAGUGUUGAUUAUACUGACAAACUUGUGGUUGGCUUCAGAUGCAAAAUUAUUUGAGGAAGAAGGAACAAAAAGAACAAAUAGAAAAGGACCUCCGUGAAGGGCUGAAGCUUUACAAGUAAACCUUUAUCUGUCAAUUAGAACUUCUUUUGGUGUUUCUUUUGUCUUCUUGCUAUUCUUUGGUUCAGCAUCUCAUCCCCGAGACUCUUGUUUCCAAUUUAUUGGAUCUGCACUAUUUAAUGUACAAGAAAAAAAGGAGUUAGCCCUAAUCAUUCAAGGAGAAUAGCUUCAAUUUCAGUUUGGUAGUUUAGAUAUGGAUUUCAAUAUUGAAUUUGAGAACUGUCAUGAUGGAUUUAAAACAACAAUGUAUGAGAAGAAUAACUUGAAAUCUUCAAUACCAAGGAUUCUAGUUGUACAAAACAAAUCAAGUACAUUUUUCUUAUCUCACGCAUUUGCUCACAUCAUUUGAUGCCUUCCAUCGUUGUUAUUGGUUUAUUUAGGACGCAUUAGGUCUUCAUCUUUUUUGUUUAUAACCAAAUAAAGAAACUGUCACCUAUAUUGUUCUCAGAUGACUUUGAAAAUCAUUUGUUACCUUCCAAACACCUUCCAUGUCAUAUUUUCCCAAUAUUCAUGCAUUCUGAGAUAAUAUUAUGUGGCUGAAAGUCUUUUUCUCUUUCUGGAAAACGAUGGAGGACUUCAAAUACAAGGAAGCACUGGAGAAAUUUGAGUCAGUGUUGGGGUCAAAACCGGAUCCAACUGAAGCUUCGGUGGCUAGCUACAAUGCCGUGUGUUGCUAUUCUAAACUUAAUCAGGUGGUACUCAGACUUCCAAAGCAAUGGUAUAAUAUCAUUAUAUUCUUGUGUUAAUAGUUUUUAAUUCUAAUUUCCUUUUAUUUUGUGAUUUCAGAUACAAGCUGGACUUUCAGGAUUCGAAGAUUUCAAGGUAACGAAUAGAACAAAUUUAACGUACUUUAUGCUAAAUUCUAAUUCUGCAACUGUUGCUACGUUUACAGCGAAUCAGGACAGACCCUGAUCUAGCCAACAUCAGAACAUCAGAAGAAUUUGAGCCUCUUAUGAAAAGGUUUGAUGAAUCGUUUAUCAACAAGAACGCCACCCAUGCCAUCAAGUCUAUCUUUGGAUUUAUUCUGUGUGGAGCAAAUUUCAUAAUAGUGCCCAGAAGAACUUCAAAGGCACGUCAAGAAUGUCGUUUUCCUUAAAGCGUUAUUCGCCCACACCAAUCUGUAAGACUGAGUAUGCCCACUGGGUUCACAGCGGGAACGCCUUUAGGAUACAAUGAAGCCUCAGAAGUUAAUCUGAUGUCUGACUGCGUUCUGCACAAACGAAAUCAGACCAAAAUUACUUUCAGAUUUUUCUGGUAGCCAAGAAUCUGAAAAUUCUGUUUCUGCAGAAAACAGAAUUCAAGAACAAGUUGGAAAAAUGUAAUUUAACAAGGAAAAAGAGAAGUUCGAAAACAAGUGAUUUAAUUGCUGAAAAAUUGUCAAUUAUAGCUGAAUAGUGUUUUUAAUGAAGAGGUGUAUUGAAGAAAGAUGAUGGUUAAUUCAAAAUCUAACAGUCAUUUUUAACAGUAAUUAGAUUUAUUAAACAAGUCCAUCGAUCACACCUUUUAGUAUUCAAAGGUUUGGAGAUCGCACCUCUUCAAUAUCCAAUCAAGCCGUUAUCACAUCUUAUAAUAGAUGUGUUUUUCACCAUAGAUCUUGUAAUCUUAAUAUAACCCCGAUCGUUGUGACAUCAUGAAUAAAAAAAUCAAUGGUCUUGAUCACAAGACACAAGUGCCAAAAGUGCGCCACCGCAUGCGGAAAGUUGCACCGUCCUACAUGGCACAUCACUUAUACCCAAGUAUAGUGCCUAGCCACAAUAAGACAAAAAACAAGAGUCAUAAUGGACUAUCACAUUAAAAAACUUUUUACUUCCCCCCCCAUCUCUUUUUUCAAUGUGGGACUCCAAAAACUUCAAACAAUUCAUAUAUACAUUAUAUUUGUGAAAAAUAUUUUUUUAACUAUUCAAACAAGAACUAGAGAUUGAGAAGACCUGAGCUUGUCAUUGUAUUUGAGAUUUUACAACUGAACUGGUGCAAGUAUUGGCCUGACCAUCUCGAGUUUCCAUACAGAUGGCUUUCCCAUUUGUUUGUUGUUUUUUACACAUGAUCAAUUUUGGAAGUUGAAAUGAUUUUUGAUUGUUUUAUCUAAUUGUAUCUCUAGUUAAAUUCUGUCUCCUGUAAUUAUCUGGACAAAAGGAUUGAAGGAAUAAAUAAAAGAUUUCCUUUCCAUCAUCUUGGUGUUACAAUAACUUUCAGUUAAAAUGGUGAUGCAAGAUCAUGCUGCACAAGUGAAAGAAAGGGGAUAGAAUUUUAUGCAGAAAAGCAGUGGCAGUAGUGUUUUCUAAAUUUUGAGCCAACGAGGUUUUGGUUUGAAUGAAAAAUACAAGGCCACACCAUUCUUUGCAAGAAUUCUAUAAAAGAAAUUCUAUUUGUGUAUCAUUUCCUGCGUAUUCAAGAUACUGUUUCAAUAGCACGUAUAAGAGAAAAUGAAAUUUCUGUUUCGUAUCAAAGUCAUUCAACUGAACUUGUCAAUUGCUGUAUGAUACAUUAAUCUACUCGAAAUAAAGUCUUCCAAGACAAUUCUAAACCAUUCCAUGAGCCUUUCAAGGACUUAAAACUGACCUGGAGGAUAGUGACUUAGGCAUGAUGUGUGACUUUAGAGUAAUUGCUCAUGACUCCUUCCACCGAACCAAAAGAAUCCUUAGAAUGGGGAUCCCAACUUGGCACCCUUGAGUGAGGGUGAGAUUUUGAGAAGAGUUUCUCUUUCAAUUUUGUAAAAUUUCCAUUGUAUAAUGAAUUAAAGCAAGUUUAUCUUUAUAAGAACAUUAUCUUGGGAUGGGUGGACCAGACCUAACCCACUUUGGUUUGUUGGGUUGGAGAUAGAUUUAAACCUUAUCCAUCCUUUUCGUGGAAUCUUAUUGAUUGGGAGCACUAGGUCAACAAGUACCAAAAAACACCCAAAAAAAUCGCUGGGUGGUGCUUUUUUUUACAAAUUCUCAAGAAGGUUACCCCAAUUAGCACAAUCUUGACUCUUUCAAGCAAUUUGGAUUGUUUGAAAACCGUUGUAGGUUUAACAAUGAAUAUGGACAGCAAGGAACAUAAGACUUCCCCCACUCUAAACUGCUCUUUAUCCCAAGAAUGUAGCUUAGAAGAAAAUAGACCCCUUUAGUCUAAAUGAAGUGAUUAAAUAGAAAAAAAUUCCUCAUGGUCGUCUCCUUGGACCCUCAUGACACCAAAUUUGAUAUGAUAAUGGAGUGAACAAUUGGACCCCCAUAAUAGACAACCUUCCUAUUCAUCAAACAUAAAUUUUCUAAGAUGAAUAUUUAUAUAAUUAAAAAAAAAGGUAAUAUUCCUCAUGAUCGUCCUCCUUGGCCCUCAUGACACAAAUUUAUAUGAUAAUGGAUUUUGAAAUUGACAUAGACAACCUUUCCUAUUCAUUGAACAUCAAUUUUCUAAGAUGAAUAUUUUACAUUAAUUAAAAAAAAGGUUUGAUUGCACAUAAUAACGACUGAUAAAGAAUGCCCAAUGACCUCUUUUACAUUUCUAUAUCUCUGAGGCUUUCUCGGUCUUAGCAAAAAUUAUCACUUGCAUCCUAACACCUGUAUACCAUGUGAUUAAGCAAUGGUGUUCCGUCGUAUGCCCCUCUCUCUAUUCCUUGAACUAUAGAGUUGCAUAAUCGUUUAGUAUUAGAAGGACACACCGUCAUGUAGUAUUUCAAAAAAUAAAUAACUACUUAUUAUGUGUUUGUCCUUACGAAAAACACUUUCCACAUAAAAAGAAAUGGAGCAAAAAGUCAGUCAAAGUCACAGUAAACUCACUCCUCAAAAAGGACAAAAGGAAACGCGGUUUCCCAUCUCUUUCCCAAUCUCACCCGUCAAUUUGCAACCACCUACCACUACCACCCAUUGAUUUAAAAGAGUCAUCUCCUCCCAUUAGUUUACCAUAUUAUAAAUUAAUCACAUUAAAUCCUACUUUUAUCACCAUAUCUACCGAGAAAAGUGAAGUCUCGCUCAAAUGGCCAAAACAACCAUUCUACUUCUUGUAUUCUUCUUCAUCUCCUUCUUCCCUUCUUCACCAUGCUGUCCAGUUGAUCAGUACCAUGCCCUUCUCCAAUUCAAAUCUUACUUCUUCAACACCUCGAUCUCUAACUCCUCAUCAGAUAGUUCCUUGUUUGGCUUAGAAUCUUGGAAUUCCACUAAUUCUGAUUGCUGCAAUUGGGACAGAGUUCUCUGUGAUUCCUCAAAGGUUGUCAUUGCUCUCCAUCUUGACUCCAUCAGUUCCCAUCUCU